rnacentral:tRNA from 1 species
CAAAGUGUAGCUUAUUAAAGCACCUGGCCUACACCCAGAAGAUUCCACAUGACCGUGGCCACUUUGA